rnacentral:ncRNA from 1 species
GACAUUAAUUUUGUAAUUCUAUACUAUAGUUACGAUGUGCAUUUGUAGGUAAAUAUUUUAGCGAUCAAUGAUUAGCCACACUAGGACUGAGAUAUGGCCUAGACUUCUACGAGAAGCAGUUAAGGGAAAUUUUUCGCAAUAGGUCUACGGGUCAUGAAAUUCUUUUUUUCGGAGAAGAAGUAAUGACAACAUCUUGAUAAUAAACAUCGAUUAACUCUAUGCCAGCAGCCGUGGUAAUACAGAGGAUGUG